AUGACAUUGUGUAAUCUGUGUAGACUGCUGUUUGUAGUAUCAUUCAUGAUUGUGAUGAAGUCUUUAAUUAUUGGGAGCCUCUUCAUUAUCUUCUGGCUUUCAAACUUGGGUGUACAGGUUUCUUGCCAAGUCCAUUCUCCAUGUAAGGUGUUACUCUUUCAUCAAAACUCUUUCUUCUGGAUACACCUGCAACGGCAGUUUCAGUUGCAGCCUCUGGUGUUAUCCUUGCCUGUUCUGAAUCCUUGUUGUCGCCCCAGUCACAUGCUAUCGUUUACUAAAAAUAUUUAAGCAAGUCUUUUUUCCAGCUGCAGCCACUUCUGUUCUUGUUUUGUUACUGAUUACUACUACUAUGGAAAAUGGGCAUCGUCUGCUUUUGAUCUGUUGGUAUAUAAUGUCGUGGGAGGGCAUAGAGCCAUUUGUAUGGGACCGGAGAGCCAUCAUUGUAUCAGAGGAAUGGUUUCAGCAAUUUUAACUUCUGUUUCGUUCUUGCUCUGUUAUUUGUUGCGAUUUUCCGAUCGUAAAGAAGAAAUAUGCCCCUGACCUGCUGGUUGUUGUCUCACCAACUAUAUUUGGUUGGCGUUUAUGUCUUUGCAGCCCCACAAAGUAGAAAGGUUAGCGUACUGCUCCUAUUUAUUUCUUUCUGGACACAUAUCUAUAAGUUCAUGAAAGUGAUUACAUCUUUUCUUGUAGAUUUCAGUUUGUGUUGCUCAAAUAUCAUAUGACCCUCGUUGUAACUACCACCCAUAGGUAUAAUCUUGCUUUUCAGAGUUAGCCAAAUCUAGUUUAACUUCAAGUACUUCCUACAUUUUCUUAUCGGGCAUUCAUUCCAGCAAUGUGAACUGUGGAUAUAUCAUGACAUUGAUGUACAUCUCCGUCUAGGUUCCUGUAUCCAGUAUAACCUCUUGGCCUCUUGUUUGUGUUACUGCUUCAGCUGUCAUUGAGAGCUUUCCUGAUCCUUUUCGAAUUAAGUAUGAUCCUGACUACAGACUGUAAUUAUUAUGAUCACCAAAGUUCUAAGCUUAUAGUUCUUGGAGUCAUAUUAUGUGCCUCACAUGGUCGGACGUGCUCGCUUAUUAAUGGGUAUUCUGAACCUUUGUAGAGUUGCAAGACUCUGGAAAUAGUGAGAACUCAUCAUUUCUGUUCGCAUUUUAUAUCUUGUUUCUUGAGACACCAGAUUUUAGCCCUUAAGCUAUAAUAAUAGACAUUUAUAUAUGGAAGUUGUAAUUUUCUUUCGUGUCUAAAAUUGGUUUUAUAGAAUCCGUGCUUUGCGUUUGAAGCGAAUGGCAUCGACAUCCAUAGACCUUCUUCAUUCCUGAUUAUGUUACUGAUGUUCGUUGGGUAGAUGAUGGAUCCCGAGGGCUCCAUCCUUAUCCACUGAAUUAUAGCAUGUGAGGGACUGCUCCAUCCCUACCUUAUUUCAACAACAACAAGGCAUCUGAUAAACAAUAUGUAAUAUGCUCUCCCUGUCAUCGUCCAGUCUUACUAAUUCUCCUAGAUAUGUUGGCUCCCAUUUUUCUUAAUGCAAAACUUAGUUUCUAUAACAAACUUUCCUGAGAGAUCAGUCACCCUUCUGUCUCAUUCUUUUAUUAUAAUAUCCGAGUAUAGGUUUUGUGUCUCUAUAUUUUUUCAAGUAAAAUCUAGGCACCCUUUCGAAACAAAAGGGAAAUCUAGGUACAGUUUGACAGCAGGAACCCAAAUAUUUCUGUUUUCAGGUUUGUAGAUUGCUGCUUAUAUAUUCACUGCUCUGAAAAUCCAUUAGUCAUAUCCAGGCCUGGAUUGAGUGCAGCAGACUCAACCAGAUCUUUGUCUAAAGGUUCAUUUUUCAGAUAUUGAUGUUUGAUUGAUAUUGCAGCUCUCCUAUCUUGAAGCCUGUACCUUCCUCAUAGAGUUGCAGCUUAAAUGGCUUCAUCCUUCUCGAGGAAGCGAUUCAAAUAAAUGGUAGGUAAUUUUCUAUUUUAUGUUUUUGUCUAUAUCUCGUCCUUACUCACACUAAGUUACUCUCUGGUUGUUUAAGUAAAAUUUGUAGAUAUUUUAGGCUCUUGCAGCAUUUAGUUUAUCUCGGCAGGGAACUCUCAUUGGCCAAGUACAGAUCUUUCUUCAUCCAUAUCUGUGGCUGCAGAUGAAUGUUUUUGGAAUGUACAAAUUGCUUGGUAGAAUUCCUCUGUAAACAUGUGAUAAACUGAACAACACUCGUUCUACCUGAAUAUCGAACGAGCAGCUCUUUUCUGUUCCACCUUUCGUUGUCUUGUGCAAAGAGCUGGGGGAAAGGUAGUCUAACCUCUUUAACAAUGGAAAUGAUUAGGGCAACUUAACAAGCUAGAGGUGUCAGCCAUAUUUGAAGUCUGGGAUAACCUUCCUUUUAAUAGUUUCGCUGAAAUAGUCAACUCAAAACUUUUUGCCGACAAGUCUUCAGUCAAUUGUAUGCAUUUUCCAUGUUGCUCAACUGGGUCGAAGAUCAGGUUUUAGGCUUGAACUUGAUCACAGGUGGAUGAUUUGCAUAUAUUUGACGAUGUUCUUGUAUUUGAGACUUUUGACUAGUGAUUCAAUUCCUCUCUAUAUUGUUUGCUUUUUCCUUCGCUAAUUGCCUGCUGAGUCUGUCAUUUUGGCCAAGUUGGUUUUCAGAUGGGCAUAGGGCUAGAUAAGCACUGCGAUUCAGAGUGAGACUCUUCAUCAUUACAAACAGCAGUACAACAUGAAGCUACUUGUUGCCUACAGGCUACACUAUUUUACUGACGCUAUGCAAAAUUGCAAAAAUUUCCAACAUCGCUUUAGGCUUAUGAGAAGUAACAUAAUACCAAAUGGGCUCAAGGUGGACAGGGUCUACCAAUAGGCUUCUUAGGGUUUACUAUAAAAUAAGAUGACCCUUUGGUUUUAGGGCAAACAUAUUCUGAACUAAAUCCUUAACUCAAACUCCGCCGUAUCCACACUUCUCUCUGAUCUGAUCUCCAUCCUCUAACAAAUCUUGUUCAUCUAAAGAAACAGAAAUAUAGAAAAAUGAGAUGUGAGCUGGAUCUUGGGUUUUUGUGGAAACCCUUGCAUAUAGCGUGGAGGAAGAUUUCGAUCAUCAUUGGUUUAACAUAAUGAUUUCUCCUCUCAAAAAUAAAUCGUUUACUCUUGUCUGCAAGCAAUUCGGGAUGACUGAGACUGAGCAUAAUGCAAAGAAGGUGAAACAAAGUUUGGUGCUUGGCAUGGCCUUGAAUCAGCAGCGUGGACAUGGCUUCAACAGGAAACGGGAGUGAUUAAUUAUUGGUAGUUAGUUUUAGUUUGCUCUUCUGCAAUCUAAACAAAUAAAAUGUCUAGAUACCAGUAUGAAUUUGCUAAUUGCUAUAGUUAGUUCGGUCUCCUGUUGGGCAGUCCAUUAUACUUUGUGGUUUCCAGUAUUGAUUAAACCGAUUCUCGUGGAUUUUUUAUUUCCAUUUAGGCAAAGUCAAUUGAUGUAUCAAAAUGCUGUAGUUUCAACUGCAUUUUUCUGUAUGCAUGAAGUCACAUACAUCGUUUCCUUAGUUUGACUUCAUUUCGACAUUGAUGUACUUGUAAAGCUAAGAAUCAAUGUGAGUUGGCAUUCCUUGCUUGGCUCAUCUUUUAUCACCAG